rnacentral:sRNA from 1 species
AAUUCAUUUCUUAAGAGUUAAGAACAAGAAGACAAUAUUUGGAGAAAUAU